AAGACGUUCGCGAAGCGCGAAGGCAACGAUCACUACGUGGUCAACGGCCAGAAGAUCUGGACCAGCCGCGCCGAAUAUUCCGACCUGAUGAUCCUGCUGGCGCGCACGACGCCAAAGGAACAGGCCGCCAAACGCACCGACGGUCUCUCCGUGUUCAUCGUCGACAUGCAGGAAGCGAAGAAGGCCGGCGGGCUGACGAUCCGGCCGAUCCGCACCAUGAUGAACCACGCCACCACGGAAGUGUUCUUCGACAACAUGAAGGUGCCUGCCGAAAAUCUCAUCGGCGAGGAAGGCAAGGGCUUCCGCUAC
rnacentral:misc_RNA from 1 species